GUUCAUGACCUCGAUAUUCGACGUCAUAAACACCAUCAAGUUUGGUGUUUAUGACGUCGAUAUACGAUGUCAUAAACACCAUCUAGUUUGAUGUUUAUGACGUCGAUAUACGACGUAAUAAACACAAUCAAAUUUGCUGUUUAUGACGUCGAUAUACGACGUCAUAACACCAUCACGUUUACUGUUUAUGACGUCGAUAUUUGACAUCAUAAAC
rnacentral:miRNA from 1 species